CCACAAGGCCCACUUUUGAAGCCAGAAGGGCCGGAUACAGCCUUCCACUCAGCAGCCCUGUGCUUCCCAGAUCCCAUGUUUCUGCGGGGACUUUGAAUCUCCAGGCAGUGACAGAGAAGACUCAGAGACGGAGAUCAGCAGCCGCACGGAGAGUUUGGGUCCUCACAGAGGAUGCAGGCUGGGCCACGCCCCCUGCCCCACCGAACCGCAGUGAGAGCGCACGGGCGGGGCGACGCUUCCCUGGGCUCCCUCCCACCUCUGAGAAGGGCUCUAUCGCGCUGUGGCUUCAGUGGGACCUGGUCUCAUCCCCCCAGACUGCCUUUGUUCACGUCGUUACUGAGGGUUGGGCAUCUGUGGCAUGCAACCAAGAAUCCUGGACAACACAGCCUGAAUGCUGUCAUCAGGGAAAGCGAGAACCUGUCUGCCAUAGCCUCGCCGUCGAUCUGCAGAGGCAGGCCCACCGGCUAUCCAGGGCGGCUGCUGGAACUCCAAAUACCACACACGCCUCUACAGUCAAGGCACAAAGAAAGGACGAAGAGACAGGGCCAGUCACAUCUGUGCCCUUUUAUAGGGAAAGACAAACCUCCCCUAAAGCCCUGCAGCAGAUUCCCCCGAGGCCUCAACGGCCACAGCAGGCCCCAUGAGCCGCCGUACUGUGAGGGAUUCUGAGACGGCACAGAGCCAGGUUGUCAUGGCAGCACUGGCCAAGCAUGCUCUGUUCCCAGGGGCUUGGCAGACCCCCAAAAAGUAGAGUUCCAUAGGCAGGAAAGAAGGGGAAUGGAUAUAGGGCAGGCGGCAGGUCUGCCUGCCACAGGUGGGAAGACAAGGAUGGGGAGGCUCACAGACUCCCCAGCCGGGUGGGGAUCAGGUCAAGGCUGCCUGGCGGGCUACAAAACCUGAGAUCCUGCUGCUCACCUGGAGGGGGCAGAGCCCUCCUCCUCCUGCUGCUGCUGCUGCUGCCCCAGCCACCUCAGCAACAGCAUGGAUGCCACAGAUGCCAGCCACCAGAUGUCCACUAGACCCACCGCCAGCCUCACUGCCAGAACCGGUUCUAUGCUGCCCCCGCUUAUGGUGUGAAGACACCACAGGCUUCCAACUGAAGGUUGGAGUGGUUGGUGGAGCCCGGGCCAUGUGACCGAGUCCUGACAGCAAGGGAUGCUGGGAACGUCUUUCUGGACUGAGACACAGAACAGAGACGUCCUGUGAACCGAGACAUAGAGACUGGAGUUUGAAGAGGCUGAAACGAUUGGAAUUUCCAAGGCAGAGGGCCUGUGUGGGGGUAGCCAUGCAGAUGGCUGGAGUGCAAUGGCGCGAUCUCGGG